ACCCAGCAAUUUGGGUAUUCCUUCAGGCAUUCCCCAACCUCGUUCAGCACCUGAGUUGCGUCCGUGCAGCCGUACAUAGGCAGCUUCCACAUGGUCCAGUAGCGUCCGUCAUAGUAUCCCGGUGACCUGUGGUAUUCACGGUACACAAAUCCUUUCUACACGUUCAAACCCACCAAAUCACAAACCCCGCAUCAGCAUAUUAAUCUAUCUACUCUACUCUACUGCUAUUAACAUUAACCAAACGAACGUAUUAGCUUCAGUAUAAAUAUUAAAUGCCUGUCUCUAUACCCUUUUUAUUUGUUUGUUUGUAUAAAUCUUUCCGCCACUGAAAAAUAAUAUGUUAGUACAUGCAAACAUCUUAUCUGUGUAACCUUUUUUUUUUUUUUUUAC
rnacentral:lncRNA from 1 species